GUUAGUAAUUUUGAUUUGCAUUCAAAUAUAAUUAAGUAAUAUUCUUAAUCUUGCCUA
rnacentral:tRNA from 1 species